UGGCCAUGAGGAUAAAACUUUUUAUGAACUAAGUCAUGAACACUCUAUACGCUAUUCUGAGCCAACG